CUUAAAUUGAAGAGUUUGAUCAUGGCUCAGAUUGAACGCUGGCGGCAGGCCUAACACAUGCAAGUCGAGCGGUAGCACAGAGAGCUUGCUCUCGGGUGACGAGCGGCGGACGGGUGAGUAAUGUCUGGGAAACUGCCUGAUGGAGGGGGAUAACUACUGGAAACGGUAGCUAAUACCGCAUAACGUCGCAAGACCAAAGUGGGGGACCUUCGGGCCUCAUGCCAUCAGAUGUGCCCAGAUGGGAUUAGCUAGUAGGUGGGGUAACGGCUCACCUAGGCGACGAUCCCUAGCUGGUCUGAGAGGAUGACCAGCCACACUGGAACUGAGACACGGUCCAGACUCCUACGGGAGGCAGCAGUGGGGAAUAUUGCACAAUGGGCGCAAGCCUGAUGCAGCCAUGCCGCGUGUGUGAAGAAGGCCUUCGGGUUGUAAAGCACUUUCAGCGGGGAGGAAGGCGUUAAGGUUAAUAACCUUGGCGAUUGACGUUACCCGCAGAAGAAGCACCGGCUAACUCCGUGCCAGCAGCCGCGGUAAUACGGAGGGUGCAAGCGUUAAUCGGAAUUACUGGGCGUAAAGCGCACGCAGGCGGUCUGUCAAGUCGGAUGUGAAAUCCCCGGGCUCAACCUGGGAACUGCAUUCGAAACUGGCAGGCUAGAGUCUUGUAGAGGGGGGUAGAAUUCCAGGUGUAGCGGUGAAAUGCGUAGAGAUCUGGAGGAAUACCGGUGGCGAAGGCGGCCCCCUGGACAAAGACUGACGCUCAGGUGCGAAAGCGUGGGGAGCAAACAGGAUUAGAUACCCUGGUAGUCCACGCCGUAAACGAUGUCGAUUUGGAGGUUGUGCCCUUGAGGCGUGGCUUCCGGAGCUAACGCGUUAAAUCGACCGCCUGGGGAGUACGGCCGCAAGGUUAAAACUCAAAUGAAUUGACGGGGGCCCGCACAAGCGGUGGAGCAUGUGGUUUAAUUCGAUGCAACGCGAAGAACCUUACCUGGUCUUGACAUCCACAGAACUUUCCAGAGAUGGAUUGGUGCCUUCGGGAACUGUGAGACAGGUGCUGCAUGGCUGUCGUCAGCUCGUGUUGUGAAAUGUUGGGUUAAGUCCCGCAACGAGCGCAACCCUUAUCCUUUGUUGCCAGCGGUUCGGCCGGGAACUCAAAGGAGACUGCCAGUGAUAAACUGGAGGAAGGUGGGGAUGACGUCAAGUCAUCAUGGCCCUUACGACCAGGGCUACACACGUGCUACAAUGGCAUAUACAAAGAGAAGCGACCUCGCGAGAGCAAGCGGACCUCAUAAAGUAUGUCGUAGUCCGGAUUGGAGUCUGCAACUCGACUCCAUGAAGUCGGAAUCGCUAGUAAUCGUAGAUCAGAAUGCUACGGUGAAUACGUUCCCGGGCCUUGUACACACCGCCCGUCACACCAUGGGAGUGGGUUGCAAAAGAAGUAGGUAGCUUAACCUUCGGGAGGGCGCUUACCACUUUGUGAUUCAUGACUGGGGUGAAGUCGUAACAAGGUAACCGUAGGGGAACCUGCGGUUGGAUCACCUCCUUACC
rnacentral:rRNA from 1 species